rnacentral:pre_miRNA from 1 species
CAUGCACCAGUGGGGUCCCUUGGCCUGGCCUGCGGGAUCGGUCUGAAACCGGCUCUCUGAUAUCCCCUGAGAGGUCCUGGAUUGCGAGAGGGCGCAGGCCAGGCUGAGGGACCCCACUGGUGCACA